rnacentral:lncRNA from 1 species
UGCCAAAAUUUUGUGUGAAAUGACCAAAAUGCCCCUAGGGCUAAAAAUGACCUAAACAGAUUCAAAUUGACUUGACACUGACUCAGAUGCAAGUUUGAAAUGAAUUUAACAAGGUUUACUGAUGAAAUGUAAAAAAAACAAUCUGAAAAGACUCAGAGACAGUCACAAGGAUGAAAAUGGGUCCCACUGCAGGAAAUGACCAAAAU